AUGGGAGGGGCACUGUCUUCUUCCUGCUUCCUGGAGCACCACCAAAGAAGUGAAAAUGAUACGCCACAAGAGCAGGGUGCGACCGAGACCCAGGAUGGGGAGGUCACCAGCUAUGCCUACCCCAGCAUCACAGGAGACAUGGAGACCAUCUGGACUGCUCGUGUGAUGAGGGCGCGUUUCCGUUCUGUUUUGGGCCAAGCCAAUGGCAGAGCUACUGCUCUCACCCUCCCAAUGGGAAUCCUGGCUCUGCAGAACCCAUCCUUUUCUCAGUGUGGGUGCCAGGGCAUCACCUCCCUCCACACGUACGUUAAAGAAGGUUUCAGGUGGACGUGGGGAAGGACCUUCACUGCCUGCGUGGUCCUUCCCGGAGCCCUCCUCUCGAAUGCCACAAAACCGACCCGCCCCAGCAGAGGCGCCCUCAGCCCUUGUGGCUCCUGCUGACCCUCCCCACAGGGAAGCUGUCUGCACAGUGGCUCCGAAGGAGUGUGGCCUAGGGAUCCUCUGUAAGUGGCCUGAUAUAGCAGCAGAGCCCAGCGUCACCUUCUGGUCUUCGUCAGCCUUAACCCUGGCACCCUCCACAGCACACACGACAGCCUGCAGUCUAGAAAGCGGACCCGAGCCUUCGCAGAGGCGCCAUAGAGCCUCAGGCUUGCGCAGCAUCACCCAGCCUUCUGCUCCUGACUGCGAGGACGUCGGUUCUUGUAGAGCACUUUUUUAAAGCUCCCAUUUUGUAACCACUAGUGUGCAGUUGGCUUUAGUACUCUGGUGACUUACCGCAUGAAGCGUUUUCAAACUGAGAAUGCGUGCAGCUCCAGGCAGGUCUUCUUCCUGAGAGUUCGGUCUUCUCUUGAAGUCAGGGAAGCAGGAGGGAUACACAUAUAUCACACACACACAAUCCCAGGCUCGAGGCUGAAUAAUCUGGAGGCUGAGUCCCUGGAGGUCCACAUGCAGCUUCCCUGGAGGGCAGGCAGGAGGCGCUCCCGCCCCUGGGCUUGGGGAUGCCACACCCUGGGGGCUUCCAGGCCGGUCAGAUGCUGCCUUCGGGCCUUUCCCUCAGCGACCAUCCUCCACAGAUACUGACCAGCAAUGAUAGACUCUUCUUAACCCUUUCAAAAGAAGAAGUUUUUCAGUGGGACAGAAAGGAGAGUAAAAAAAAAUUUUUUUAAGGUGGUAACAUCUGACCCACAAGGGGAUGGGUCUGUUUUACGUGAAAUAAAAGUUUUUCAAAGAAA